UACUGAGGGAGCUAGCGUUGUUCGGAAUUACUGGGCGUAAAGGGCGCGUAGGCGGCCGUUUGCGUCGGAUGUGAAAGCCCGGGGCUCAACCUCGGAACGGCAUUCGAUACGGGACGGCUGGAGACCGGGAGAGGAGAGUGGAAUAGCCAGUGUAGAGGUGAAAUUCGUAGAUAUUGGCUGGAACACCGGUGGCGAAAGCGGCUCUCUGGCCCGGUUCUGACGCUGAGGCGCGAAAGCGUGGGGAGCAAACAGG
rnacentral:rRNA from 1 species